rnacentral:tRNA from 1 species
AGUAAAUUAGUUUAAUAAAAUAUUAGUUUGUCAGGCUAAAGAAGAAAAAUUCCUCAAUUAAUAC